rnacentral:rRNA from 1 species
AACAUUUUUAUAACUUAUUUAUUCUGUGAAUUAUUUUGUAAUAAAUAAAUAUUUUUUUAGUAUGGUGUUUAGAAAAAAUUACUUUUAGUAAGGUUAGUACUGUAAAGGAUUAAAUUUUAUUUUUUUGAAGAAAUUUUUGUUUAGUGUACCUUUUGUAUCAGGGUUUAUUAAUUAAUUUUUUAUUUAUUUUAAUAUUCCCGAAAUUUAAAGAUAUAUAUUCAAAUUAUACAACAAAUUUCAAAUUGUUUAUUAAUUUGAAUGUAGAAGUUAUAUGUUAUUCAUUUUAAAUAUAUCUGGUUUCUUUUUUUAUAAAUUUAAUUUAGGAUUUGUUGUGAUAAAGUUAAUUUAAUUUUUUACUUACAUAAAUCUAAGUAUUCAAGGGAUAAGCUUUGAGUAUAUUUUAUAAUUUAUAAACAAAUUAAAAUUUAUUUAGGAUUAAUAUUUUCUUUUACUAUCUUUUUAUAAAGAUAAUUUUAAUAUAUUUGAUUUUUUUUAAUUUAAAAUAUUAAAAAGACAUUUUAAGUAAUUGAUUUUUAUAAUUGAUUAUGAUAUAAUGAGUAAUAUUAAAAAUUUAAUUUAAGAAUUCGGCAAAUUUAAUUUCCGAAUGUUUAAUAAAAACAUUUCUUUAUUGUUAAAAUAUAAAGUAUAACCUGCUCAAUGAAUUAAUAAAUAGCCGCGAUAUUUUCGUGCUAAGGUAGCAUAAUAAUUUGUCCUUUAAUUAAGGUCUAGAAUGAAUGGUUGAACGAGAAAUUAACUAUUUUAAUUAAAUUUUUUUGAAUUUUAUUUUUUAGUUAAAAAGCUAAAAUAUAUCAAUGUGACGAUAAGACCCUAUAAAAUUUUAUUAUUAAAUUAAUUAUUAUAAAUUUGUGUAUAUUUAUAUUAAUUGUUGAAAUAAUUUGGUUGGGGUGACUGUAAUAUUUAAUUAACUUUUAUUUUUAUGUUUUAUUAAUUGAUAAUUUAUUGAUCCUAAAUUUUAGAUUAAAAGAUUAAAUUACUUUAGGGAUAACAGCGUAAUUUCUUUGGAGAGUUCUUAUUUAUAAAGGAGAUUGCGACCUCGAUCAAAAGCUAUUAUUUUAAGUCUGUUCGACUUUUAAAAUUUUACAUGAUCUGAGUUAAGACCGGCGUGAGCCAGGUUGGUUUCUAUCUAUUAAGAUUAUUUAAUACUUUAGUACGAAAGGACCAAGUAUUACAAAUAUUUUGU